AACGCAAAUUGCGCUCCUUGGUAUUCCGAGGAGCAUGCCUGUUUGAGUGUCAUGAAAUCAUCCACCUCACCUUUGGGCUUUUGUCCGAGGGUCCGGCUGGGACUUGGGUGUUUGCGCGGCGAUGAGCCCCGCUCACCUUAAACAUAUUGUAGUGAUCUAGCCUGUUGGCCGGUUUGACUUGGCGUUAUAAAUUAUUUCGCUGAGGACACUCGCAAGGGUGGCCGUUUGACUGCUUGAUCUCGUCUCAAAGUGCUGCACUUAUAGAGGCUACAACUUCUUGACAUCUGGCCUCAAAUCAGGUAGGACUACCCGCUGAACUUAA
rnacentral:misc_RNA from 1 species